rnacentral:rRNA from 1 species
CCUACGGGUGACAGCAGUGGGGAAUAUUGCACAAUGGGGGAAACCCUGAUGCAGCGACGCCGCGUGAGUGAAGAAGGAAUUCGUUAUGUAAAGCUCUAUCAGCAGGGAAGAAAAUGACGGUACCUGAGUAAGAAGCCCCGGCUAACUACGUGCCAGCAGCCGCUGUAAUACUUAGGGGGCAAGCGUUAUUCGGGUUUACUGGGUGUAAAGGGAGCGUAGACGGCAGUGCAAGUCUGGAGUGAAAGGCGGGGGCGCAACCCCCGGACGGCUCUGGAAACUGUACGGCUGGAGUGCAGGAGAGGUAAGUGGAAUUCGUGGUGUAGCGGUGAAAUGCGUAGAUAUUAGGAGGAACACCAGUGGCGAAGGCGGCUUACUGGACUGUAACUGACGUUGAGGCUCGAAAGCGUGGGGAGCGAACAGGAUUAGAUACCCCAGUAGUC